UAUAUUUAAGUGUUUUAGCACAAGAAUUUUUGAUAUUCUUAGAAAUAGAUUAUUUCUCUAUUAAAUAUAU
rnacentral:tRNA from 1 species